UUUCAUGUCUUUUGUAUUAAAGAAUUAAAUGGAUGAAAUAUGAAGUUUUAUUAAAAGAAAAAGGGGUGAAAAGAACAAAGUUUUGUCCAUCUUUAUUCAUCAUAGCUGAAAGUUAGAGAAGAGAAAGGAGAGGAGAAAGCUCUUGAGUAUUCGGUCAUUAGGAGGAGGAAAAUUGAAGGUAAUCCCCAACCAUAGUGGGCUUGGAGCUGUGAGGGAAUUCGGAGUGGCCACCCGUUCUGAAAGUUUGAUUUUCUUCUGGUGAACUGGACAUCCUUUUAUUUACGUUUGAAGUUUUGGGUUUUUAAAUGUAAUAAGGCCGCUUAAUUAUUUUUGAUGGUUUUAAUAUGUAUUACUAA